AGAUUAUGACGAGAUAGACUAUGCGCUGCAGUACGACAGACUAGAAGAAUCACCUGCUGAAGCUGCGGCCUAUGAAAAUACACUGGCUUUACACACAACAAAUGCAUAUGACUGCAUUGAUACGUCACAGCAGAAUGAAGAACUGAAUUAUAUGUGUGUUACAACAACGUAAUGAUUCGCAUUUUCAAAGCAAGUCUCUUUGUAAAUCAUGUCUCGAUACUAAUAUAUUAGUAUUGUGUUGAUAUUAAAAUAAGUUGGUAUUUGGGCAAUCUAGUAUUAAUUUCUUUAAUAUAUAAAUCAUACUUUAGUUGUUGGUUACUUAGGUUAAAGAAAAAAGUAACUAGAGUGACAGUCUUCUUUUAAAGAGUUUUUCAUAUUGUAUCGGAAUUAAUUAAUAAAAUAGUGGAAUUCCGUUAAAAGUAAA